UUGAAUUGAAACCACCAGAGAAGAAAGAGAACGAAGAAUGAUGAACUAGAAGCACACAACCCAUGUAAUACAUAAGGGAAAGAGAUACAUAGUUGGCUUACAAUCGCCACUUCACACAAAUACAUGAAUAAAGCAUUACAUCAUCCAGAUACAAUCAAGGUCCGACUACGGAACCAAAAUAAAAGAAGACUACCCCAAAUACUACAUAGAUCCCCGAUCGUCCCGACUGGGCUCCACUACUGAUCAACUAGAACGAAGCAAUACAAAGGACAAGAUCUUCAUCGAGCUCCUCCUUGAGCUUGGUUGCGUCACCUGCUCGGCAACAUCGGCACCUGCAAACUGGUUUUGGAAGUAUCCGUGAGUCAUGGGGACUCAGCAAUCUCGCACCCUCGCGAUCAAGACUAUUUAAGCUUAUAGGAAGGGUAAAAGGUAUGAUGUGGAGCUGCAACAAGUGACUAGCAUAUAUGGUGGCUAACAUACGCAAAUGAGAGCAAGAAGAUAAGGCAAAGCAUGAUCGAGAAAACUAUGAUCAAGAAGUGACCCUAGAAUAACUUACGUCAAGCAUAACUCCAACACCGUGUUCACUUCCCGGACCCCGCCGAGAAGAGACCAUCACGGCUACACACGUGGUUGAUGUAUUUUAAUUAAGAUCAACUUCAGGUUUUCUACAACCGGACAUUAACAAAUUCCCAUCUGCCCAUAACCGCGGGCACGGCUUUCGAAAGUUCAUAACCCUGCAGGGGUGUCCCAACUUAGCCCAUCACAAGCUCUCACGGUCAACGAAGGAUAAACCUUCUCCCGAGACAUUCCGAUCAGACUCGGCAUCCCGGUUCUACAAGACAACUUUGACAAGUUAAAACAAAUCCAGCAACACCGCCCGAAUGUGCCGACAAAGCCCGAUAGGAGCUGCACAUCUCUCGUUCUUAGGGCACACUCAGAUGAGACUAGCUACGAGUAAAAUCAAACACCAAGUUGCCCCGAGGUGGCCCCGCAGGCAGGUCAGUCGGACCAACAUUGAGAGGAGCACUGGCCCAGGGGGGUUUAAAAUAAGAUGACCCUUGAGUCCGUGGAACCCAAGGGAAAAAGAGGCUAGGUGGCGAAUGGUAAAACCAAUGUUGGGCAUUGCUGGAGGAGUUUUAUUCAAGGCGAGCUGUCAAGGGGUUCCCAUAAUAGCCCAACCACGUAAGGAACGCAAAAUCCGGAAACAUAACACCGAUAUGACGAAAACUAGGGCGGCAAGAGUGGAACAAAACACAAGGCAUAAGGACGAGCCUUCCACCCUUUACCAAGUAUAUAGAUGCAUUAAUUAAAUAAGAGAUAUUGUGAUAUCCCAACAAGUAAAUAUGUUCCAACAAGGAACACCAUCUCCAUGUUCCAACAAGGAACAAACUUCAAUCUUCACCUGCAACUAACAACGCUAUAAGAGGGGCUGAGCAAAGCGGUAACAUAGCCAGACAACGGUUUGCUAGGACAAGGUGGGUUAGAGGCUUGGUUCACAAUAUGGGAGGCAUGAUAAGCAAGUGGUAGGUAUCGCAGCAUAGGCAUAGCAAAAGAGCAAGCAUCUAGCAAGCAAAGAUAGAAGUGAUUUCGAGGGUAUGGUCAUCUUGCCUGCGAUCCUGCAAGGAAGAAGAACGAGUCCAUGAAGAAGACAAACAGACGUAGUCGAACGAAUCCUCACCACACGACGUUACCAGAUUAUCGAGAAGAAGUACACCGGAAAAACAAGCAAACAACAUAGUAAACAACCACCACAUAAGCAUGGCAAGAUGCGCAAACAAGUAUGAUGCAUGUCCGGUUUAAUGAGGCAUGGCAUGGCAAAGUGCACAAGCAAUACUACAAAUUAAGUGGAGCUCAAUAUGCAACUCCGUUGCAUAGUGACGAAACACCACAUGACUUAUUUAGUUUGAUCUUGUUUAUGUACCCAACAAUAUUAAAUGUUGUUAAACAUGACAAGAGGGUGAAGCAAAGUAAAACUACCUAUCUAGUCCAGUUUAAAUGAGGCCGGAAGCAACGAACAACAAUUCCGGUAAAUCCCCAUAUGCAUAUAUUAGGUUUGGUACUGAUCUGUCCUAAACACAAUUUUAGAGUUGUUAAACAUGCAAAGUGAUGC
rnacentral:lncRNA from 1 species